rnacentral:rRNA from 1 species
AUUGAACGCUGGCGGCAGGCCUAACACAUGCAAGUCGAGCGUGCCGCGGACGUGUGUGUAAUGUAUGGGCCUCUCCCCGAUAGAGGGGGAUAACUACUGGAAACGGUUCCUAAUACCGCAUACCAUCAGAGGAACCCAUAUGGGAUUAGCUUGUGGGUGGGGUAACGGCUCACCUAGUCGACGAUCCCUAGCUGGUCUGAGCGGAUGAUCGGCCACACUGGGACUGAGACACGGCCCAGAUGCCUACGGGAGGCAGCAGCGGGGAAUAUUGGCAAAUGGGAGAAAGCCUGAGGCAGCCAUGCCGCGUGUAUGAAGAAGGCCUUCGGGUUGUAAAGUACUUUCGGUAGGGAAGCGUUACCGAAAGAAAAAGCACCGGCUAACUCCGUGCCAGCAGCCGCGGUAAUUC